rnacentral:misc_RNA from 1 species
AACGCACAUUGCGCCCACUGGUAUUCCGGUGGGCAUGCCUGUUCGAGCGUCAUUAUCCUCCCUCAAACCCCGGGUUUGGUGUUGGACCUCAAGUUGUGCGAACAACUGGUCUCAAAGAUAAUGACGGCGUCCGGAGGACCCUCGGUGCAACGAGCUUUUAGGAGCACGCGUCGAGUUUCAAGGACCUUCCGGCCCGGUCUCUUUACCCCUUUUACAAGGUUGACCUCGGAUCAGGUAGGAAUACCCGCUGAACUUAA